GAUGAAGAACGUAGCGAAAUGCGAUACUUGGUGUGAAUUGCAGAAUCCCGUGAACCGUCGAGUCUUUGAACGCAAGUUGCGCCCGAAGCCAUUAGGCCGAGGGCACGCCUGCCUGGGCGUCACACGUCGUUGCCCCCCCAUCUACUCCUUCGGGAUUGCGGGGGGCGGAUGAUGGCCUCUCGUGCGCCUCGUCGCGCGGUUGGCCUAAAUGCCAAGUCCUCGGCGACGCACGCCACGACAAUCGGUGGUUGCGAAACCUCGGUUGCCUGUCGUGUGCGGUCGUCGCGCAUCGAGGGCUCGAAAAAAUUGCCGGGCUUCGGCUCGACUUUCAACGCGACCCCAGGUCAGGCGGGGUUACCCGCUGAAUUUAAGCAUAUCAAUAAGCGGAGGA
rnacentral:misc_RNA from 1 species